AUGUGACCAGCCAUGGAGUGGACUCUAAAUCAGACACCAGGUACUUAACAUGAAUCUUCAUGUUUACUUUAAAUAUGUGAUCACCUGCUUCAUAAUGACCCUCUACUUCAGGUAGAGAACAUCAUCAUUACCCAGCAACUACGUGAACAUUCUAGUAUUUUAAUUCUCAGAGUAUGACGAAGGGUCAUCACCAUGGCUAGAGAGAUACGUGAAAACUGAGGGAAAUCGAUUUCCUCCGUUAACUUUUUGCCCUGGCAGUGGCCUGAUUCAGAAAAGGUGGUAGAUUUUGAGUCAAACUUGAAUGAGUAAGAGUUUGCCAGGAAGUCCAAAAGAAGAGGAUUCUAGGCAGAAGAAACACAAGGAGGCAUAAUCAUUAAGGAUUUCUUGAGAACUACAGAAAAUUCAAUGUGAUAGAAUAUGGAGGUGACGGAGAUGGUAGAAGGGGGAUUUGGAGAGGAAAAAAAGGGGCUGUGUCCUGAUCACCUCCUAUUCACCCUGUUGGCGAAGAAGGGAUCCUCUGCCUGAAUAAUAUGAGAUGGCCGAACACAUGACACUCAACACUGGACAAAUGAGGUUGGUAGCAGGUUACUAGUCACAUAUACCCGCUACCUGGAAGAGGAGGACACUGCAUGCCAUGUGGAGCCACACAGGGGUUAGAUUCCCAAGCAGAGUGAACCAGCAGGGACAGUGGGAGCAAAUCUUUCAGAACGUAUCCAGAAUUUAACCACUUCCACCGACACUACCCAUGAUGCUUUAGCCACCGUCUUCCUGCUUCCCGGAAGAGAGAAAGAGAGAGAAGAAAAAGUCCACAUUCAGAUUUUUGCAGGAUAGAAGAAUCUUUUUGCUAAUAAUCUCCACAUUAAAGAUGAUUGCAAAAUUCAAAAAAAAAUGUAUUUGAGAAAUUCAGCCCAUUUUUAUUAAACUGCUACUAUUUGCCAGAUGUUAUUCUGUGACCAGGGAAAGAAAGACUAUGUAAAAGGCCUCAUUCUGUGCUCCAGAAGCUGCUAAUUUACUAGUCAAGAAAAGCCAAGACCUUUCAUAAGUGAGCCAGGAGGGCCAACGCGCCCAGUGAGUGUAGGAUUUAAGAAAAUCAAGGAAACGCCUCAUGUGUGGACUGCUGACAUUAUCUUCAAACAAGGUGCCUGAGGUCACACAGAUUCACUGACAAGCCUGAAAGAAGCAAUCCAAAAUAUAACUUUAGAUCUGUAUCACGUUAUUAGGCCAAGCACUUUACAGAACAUUAUAAAUUCUAUAAACACCUCGUCCAUAGAAUGAUUUUAAUGCAACAUGUUUUGUGUUGACUCAUCUGUUAAAUUUAAAAAUUGUGAACAGUCACUAUUUUUGUAGUCCUACUGUAGUGUUUGUUUCUUAAGAUGUGGAAGCCUCAAAUAAUAGUAAUGGCCCUGGAGCUCUCUAAACCCCUGAGAAACACCGAGAAAAGCAUUCCUUUCUUCGUUAGAGACAUACUGUCAAAAGUGCUCAAACGUCAUAUUAUAACCAUCAGAGAAAGUACUAGAAGAGCUUGGGAAGGGGGAAAUUGUUAUGCCUGGGGGCCUGCAGAUAUCCACGCAGGAUGGAGAGAAAGAUAUUCGUAGAGACGCUGCCUUUAGGAAGACUGCCUUCCUGGGUGCGGUUUCCGUGACGACAGUCCGGGCCGACAUCCCAAGUACCUCGGGUCUGAAGAUGGUGAAUGUGGUGAGUAUUAAUAGGGAAGAAACUCUGAGUUAGCCUAUUAAAAAAUAUCCGUCCGUGCAGACAAUAUGCAAUAUUUUGCCAUAUUUUAGGUGCCAUAAACUCCAGGUUUUCUGCUCGGGAGUCGUAGAGUGAACGACUUUUCUCUCCAUGGAGUCCCUAUAUACUCCAGGACCGAAAUCAUUGUCAGUCCCUACCCUUCCUAAGGGC
rnacentral:lncRNA from 1 species